ACGCACGCUGGCGGCGUGCUUAACCCAUGCAAGUCGCACGGGAUUUAGUAAACGGAAGCCUCGGUGGAAGAUUACUAAUGAGAGUGGCGAACGGGUGAGUAACGCGUGAGCAACCUGCCUAUGACAGUGGGAUAGCCUCGGGAAACCGGGAUUAAUACCGCAUAAAAUCGUAGAAACACAUGUUUCAACGGUCAAAGAUUUAUCGGUCAUAGAUGGGCUCGCGUCUGAUUAGCUAGUUGGUGAGAUAACAGCCCACCAAGGCGACGAUCAGUAGCCGGUCUGAGAGGAUGAACGGCCACAUUGGAACUGAGACACGGUCCAAACUCCUACGGGAGGCAGCAGUGGGGAAUAUUGCACAAUGGGGGAAACCCUGAUGCAGCGACGCCGCGUGAACGAAGAAGGUAUUCGUAUCGUAAAGUUCUGUCCUAUGGGAAGAUAAUGACAGUACCAUAGAAGAAAGCUCCGGCUAAAUACGUG
rnacentral:rRNA from 1 species